UACGUAGGGGGCAAGCGUUGUCCGGAAUCAUUGGGCGUAAAGCGUGCGUAGGCGGCUGCGCAAGUCGGUUGUGAAACCCCGGGGCUCAACCCCGGAACUGCAUCCGAUACUGCGUGGCUAGAGGUAGGUAGGGGAGAUCGGAAUUCCUGGUGUAGCGGUGAAAUGCGCAGAUAUCAGGAGGAACACCGGUGGCGAAGGCGGAUCUCUGGGCCUUACCUGACGCUCAGGCACGAAAGCUAGGGGAGCGAACAGG
rnacentral:rRNA from 1 species